UACAGAGGGGGCAAGCGUUGUUCGGAAUCACUGGGCGUAAAGCGCACGUAGGCGGCUUUUUAAGUCAGGGGUGAAAUCCUGGAGCUCAACUCCAGAACUGCCUUUGAUACUGAAGAUCUUGAGUUCGGGAGAGGUGAGUGGAACUGCGAGUGUAGAGGUGAAAUUCGUAGAUAUUCGCAAGAACACCAGUGGCGAAGGCGGCGCACUGGCUCGAUACUGACGCUGAGGCACGAAAGCGUGGGGAGCAAACAGG
rnacentral:rRNA from 1 species